UUUCAUCCUAGUUUUCUCCAAGACAUUGAAGAUGAACCCACUUUGUAAAUGUGGGUAUCUAUCACAUUUGAAAAUUUCAUGGUCAAAUGACAAUCUGGGAAGAAGAUUUUUUGGUUGUAAAAACUAUAAGGUUAAAGGUUGUAAGGCUUGUAAUUGUUUUGAGUGGUAUGAACCGAAAUUUCCAAAACAAGCUAAUAUUGUUAUUUUGGGUUUGUUGAAGAAGAGAAAUAAACAAGAGCAUGAGCUAAAGUGGGGAAGAACAUUGAAGAUUAGUCUAUGUAUUAGUGUAGUAUGCAAUGUGAUGUUGUAUUUUGGUUGGUGUCCAAUUUAAUCUAACUUUAAUUGGUAUCUAUGUAUUUGAUAAAUAGUAGAAUGAACAGAAAUCUUGUAUCACAAAUCUAUCAUUUUAAGUCAUUCACAAAAUCUUGUAUAGAUAUCUGAAGGUACUUUGCAUAACUAGAAAUAGAUAUGGCUACUUAUGUUGCUAUAACUUCUCUGAUGGGAAUAAUGCAAAUAAUGCAGCAGCUUCCACAAUCCCGCUUAGACUUUCAAUUUUGCCAUAUUUGUCCAUAGUAUCAGUUUUGUUAGCUAAAGGAAGCAAAUAUACCUUCCUUUAAGAAUUCUUCCAGUAACAAUUGCGCCAACUGCAACAUGAGUAAUAUGCACUAGUCACUGCUCUAUACCUCACAAAAGUUUACUGUUAGAACUAUGAAAAUGCUAUUUCAUGUUGCUGCAAAUAAUGGGAAGAUAUGUAAGAUAGAUACACGUUGUUUACAAAACUGGAUAGCAACAAAAAUCUGGACAGUAUAUAAAAGAGCUGUUUACCAAACAUAUCUGACAGCUACACAAAAUACUACUAGUAUCGAACAGCUACAAAAAUACUACCAGUAUCACAAAAGAGCUGUUUCACCAAAAACGCUACACAAAAUACUACCACAAAGAAAGUUGUAAUCAUCUGAUUACAUACUAAGCAUACACCAAAAAAACUAACUUAAUCAUAGAACAAAUCUAUGUUGGUUCUUUGGAUGGAGAUUUUUCAGUUUGAGAUCUUGCUUGAAUCUUAAUAGCCUUUGCUUUUUUUUUUUGGGACUCUAUG